GACGAACGCUGGCGGCGUGCCUAAUACAUGCAAGUCGAGCGCUGAAGGCUGGUACUUGUACCAACUGGAUGAGCAGCGCACGGGUGAGUAACGCGCGGGGAAUCUGCCUUUGAGCGGGGGACAACUUGUGGAAACGAAUGCUAAUACCGCAUAAAAAUUUUAAACACACGUUUUAAGUUUGAAAGAUGCAAUUGCAUCACUCAAAGAGGAUCCCGCGUUGUAUUAGCUAGUUGGUGAGGUAAAGGCUCACCAAGGCGAUGAUACAUAGCCGACCUGAGAGGGUGAUCGGCCACAUUGGGACUGAGACACGGCCCAGACUCCUACGGGAGGCAGCAGUAGGGAAUCUUCGGCAAUGGACGAAAGUCUGACCGAGCAACGCCGCGUGAGUGAAGAAGGUCUUCGGAUCGUAAAACUCUGUUGGUAGGGAAGAACGUUGGUGAGGGUGGAAAGCUCAUCAAGUGCCGGAACCGACCCAGAAGGGGCCGGCUACCUCCGU
rnacentral:rRNA from 1 species